UUUACGGUCGGACUUUGCCGUCACAUGACAGAAUCGAAUCAACCUGUAAAGCUCCGAGUGCUUUUAUUCCCGCACACUGCCAACGAAUGAAGGUCGGCAAUGUCGAAAUUACAGAAUAUGUGUGACGUGAGAGGUCGCGGGUUAGAAUCUGGACAGGCCGCCUGCACUGUUAAAGGACGCGGUUAUCUCUUACCUGUCUCAUAACGUUGCCGGCGGCGGCAUAUGUCGGCGGAUACUGCCGGUAUUUCGAAAACCGGGCGGAGUACAAAAUAAAUAACUAAAUUUUGACUACCUUUAUGGAUUUUUAUUCUUAAAACUGAAUGAUUGAUUGAAUGUCACAUACUGGUAGGAGAAGAAGACAGCAGAGCAAACCCUCGGGAAAACAUUAAAAAUUGAUGAGCUCAAAAGUAAGGGGAAGACUGAAAUGGCGCCCGGAAGGGCAACGCUGCACGUCUCUGGUUUGAGUCGCGGCGGAUCUAAUGCUGGAGCUACAUUGUGCAAGAGGUUUUCUUCUUGUUGUUUUUCAUUUUCUUCUUCUUGACAGCUGAAGAAUAGUUAGGAGUACAGUGUAGGAGCUUGAAGGUUUGAGCACCAGCGUCAGGGUCACAUUGCGAGGAAGCUCGCCAGUAGCGGGCAUGGCGAUAAUACGGCUCCCCUUUAUGAUCACUGUUUUCUUGUUCUUGGCUCGUGGACACGCCGCCGCCUCGUCGAGCGACGUUUCGGCGCUUGUGGAGCUGACUAAGGGCAUGCGAGGGUUUGCGCUGCAGUCUUGGAAGGUUGCGUCUGUGGACUCCAAUGGCUGCCCUGUAAACUGGGAUGGGAUCCAGUGCUCUGGGGGGCUCGUCACCGGCAUUAACCUUGCCAACCGUAAUCUUACAGGUGAAAUUAAGCUGGGAGCUCUUGGAGGCAUGAAAAUGCUGUCCAAUUUGUCCUUUUCCAACAAUAAAUUAUCAGGUAAGCUGGAUGCGCAGCUGCAUUCACUUUCAUCUCUUCAGUACUUUGAUAUUUCAAACAAUUUAUUCAAUGGAAGAAUCCCCAGUGCCAUUGUUGCCCUUGAACGCCUAGUUUAUCUUAACUUGUCAUCAAAUAAGCUGUCUGAAAAGAUACCAGAUGGUUUGGGAAAGCUCAGGGAGCUGCGUUGGAUCGAUUUACAUUCAAAUCAGUUAUCUGGUAUCAUUGAUAAUGGUGUCAUGGGGCUGCAAAAUUUGGAGCACAUUGAUUUCAGCGAUAACCAGUUCUCUGGAACCCUUUCACAGAUGUUGUCCCAUGAAUCUGGACUCAGCCAGCUUCAGUAUCUAAAUCUCAGCAAUAAUCAGCUUGUUGGAAGCUUGCUUGAUUAUCAUUCAAGUUCUUUUGCGAACCUGAGAGUUCUUGAUGUCAGCAACAAUCAGCUAUCAGGAAAGCUUCCUUCGUUCGAAUUUGCUUAUGGCCUUGAGACGUUACGGCUUGGUGGUAAUAAAUUUUCUGGUAAUUUGCCAGAUGCACUUUUUGUAGACGAUACUUUGGCUUUAAAGGAACUGGAUCUCAGCCACAACAGCCUUUCAGGUUUCAUGAUGAAUACGAUCACAUCAAAAUCCCUUAACAUUCUCAAUCUUUCUUCAAAUCUUCUAUCUGGUCCAUUGCCACAAAAAUUUGGUAGCUGUGCAGUUGUGGAUUUGAGCAAUAACAAUCUAUCUGGGAGUUUGUCUCUGAUGUGGGGGAAUGACUUGGAAAUGAUUGAUCUGAGUCAGAAUUCAUUUACUGGGUCCUUGCCUAAUGAUACUUCGACAUUUUUAAGAUUGACCUAUCUGAAUUUAUCACACAAUGCCCUAGUGGGUCCUCUUCCUCUUGUGCUAGGGACAUAUUCUAGGAUUAGAACUAUUGACCUUGGCUUCAACCUGCUAAAUGGGCCUCUUUUGACGAACCUUUUUACCUCACCUACCUUGGCACAUUUACACUUGUCUAGAAACAACUUUACAGGGAGAAUACCUCUACAGAAUGUUCAACCAAUUAGUCCUGUAACAUUACUGGCAGUGGUAAACUAUUCACCCUUGGAAUCACUUGAUCUUUCAAACAACCAACUGAAUAGUUUCAUUCCCCGAGAAAUUGGUGACAUCGAUAGUCUCAGGUCACUGAAUCUGGCAGGAAAUCAAUUUUCAGGUAGUAUACCAAGGGAAGUCAGUAAGCUUUAUGCUUUGACGAAUCUUAACCUUUGUUGCAACCAAUUAACAGGGAAAAUACCAAACAAGCUUUCUGCCAAUUUAAAAGCAUUGAAUCUAUCUUAUAAUGACUUGUCAGGUUAUGUUCCAGAAAACUUGAGAAAGUUCCCAUAUUCCUCAUUUUAUCCAGGCAAUGUUCAUUUGAUUUUUCCUUCUGUUUCUGGUUCACAUGGUAGGGGACCUGAGAUCAAUGGGAAGGGGAGACAUGAGAAGGGCCUCGGAGCAGAUGUUAAAGCAAUAAUAAUUGGAGUGUGUACUGCUGGAUCUGCGCUACUUGUUGCCCUUGCUCUGUUUCUGUACUACAGAAGAAAUUCACCCACGCAACACUUUAGUAGAUAUGUUGACUUUGGCGAGAAAGUUGAUACAAAAGACAGAAACAGAGGACAACCUUCUAGUGCUGGGUAUUAUGAAUUUCAUAAAGAUGUGGAUCCUUCACCUCCAGUGCCCUUGAAAUUUUCAGCAGAUAAUUUGCUAGUUCCUGAUAAGAGGCUUACAUCUGCUGUGCCCAAAGGACUCACCACUGAGGCUGCAGUACAAGAAACUUCAGAUGUUAAAGCCAAGGGUCUUGAUUCUGUGAAGACUAGUAGCACUGCAGAUAUUUCAUCUUCAAAUAAUAAGAAAAGGUCUUUACCUGGAUCACAGAGUUACUUAUCAUCACCUCCACAGUCUGAUGAUUCAUUCACUUCAGAGCACCCAGUUAUCUUGAAUGUUCAAUCACCUGAUCGGUUGGCUGGGGAUCUCUUCUUUCUGGAUAAUACAUUAUCAUUCACAGCUGAGGAGCUGUCUCGUGCGCCUGCUGAGGUUUUGGGGAGAAGCAGUCAUGGUACCUCCUAUAAAGCCACUCUAGACAAUGGACAUGUUUUGAGAGUGAAGUGGCUGAGGGAGGGCUUGGCUAAGCACAGAAAGGAAUUUGCAAGGGAAGCAAAGAAGUUUGCGAACAUUAGGCAUCCAAACCUAGUUUCUUUAAGGGGUUAUUAUUGGGGACAACGGGAGCAUGAAAAACUCAUUUUAUCAGACUAUAUGAGUGCAGAAAAUCUAGCUAGUCAUAUCUAUGAAAAGCCAGGUGGGAAGAUCUCACCUCUGGACUGGACUCAGCGACUAAAAAUUGCUGUAGACCUUGCCCGUGGUUUGAAUUAUCUACAUUAUGAAGUAUGCUUAUCACAUGGCAAUUUGAAAGCAACAAAUGUUCUUCUAGAUGGUCCUGAUCUUAAUGGAAAGCAUGCUGAUUAUAGUCUUCAUCUACUGAUGACAUCAGCUGGGACAACAGAACAGAUAUUGAAUGCGGGUGCUCUUGGAUAUCGAGCACCAGAGUUGGCUACUGCCAAGAAACCAAAGCCAUCAUUUAAGGCUGAUGUAUAUGCUUUUGGUGUGAUUUUGAUGGAGAUUUUAACUGGGAAAAGUGCAGGGGAUAUCAUAUCUGCAAAUUCAGGGGUUGUUGACCUUACAGAUUGGGUAAGAAUACUGGCAACAGAAGGGCGGGCAGUAGAUUGCUUUGAUCGUAGUCUCCUUUCUAGUGACGGGGACCAGGAACCUCCCAAAGGAAUGGAUGAUAUGCUUGCCAUAGCUCUAAAAUGCAUUCGAUCUGCAUCAGAAAGGCCUACAAUCAGAACUGUGUUUGAUGAUCUUACAGCAAUAGUGGUUUGAAAUCUCACAACUUGUGAGGCUUUUGUUGAAUUGAUCCCUUGUAAAUGUAUUGUUGAAAGUACAAGAGUGAUUCUGCUUUCCAUGACUUGCAAGUGUGGAUUCUUAAGAAAAUCAAAGAAGCAAAUGUUCAUGUUAUAAUGUAGUGGCAGAAACUAUCCCAGCAUUUUGUUCUGAAAAUAUUAGUUCUUGCUGAUUCUAUCUUCGUCAUUGCAGAACUGUUUGUCUUCAUUUAAGUGUGGUUAUAUGAAUCAGGUGUUUCUUUUCUCUACCUCAAGCUUUGGCUUGUGCAUGCAAGUUGUGGCAUUCGGAGCUUGAUAACAACUGUUUAUUUGAUCAAAUAAAUCAGCAAUUAAAUUAUUUCCAUUUUUUGACAUUUGGUUAUAGGAUCAAAUUAUUACUUUUGAGGGUUUGCAUCUAUUUACCCAUGGAAAUGAGGCAGACAUGGAUUCCAGUAAGUUUUAUGGAAGAUGAAUCAAUGUCAGAUGGUGCAGUUAGAAUAACCAUUAACUGGGAAGCUUCUAAGUUAUGUCAGAACUAUAUUUGCUGAAAACUGAGAUACCUAAAAGAAAGAAUAUGUGCGAAGGGAGUUGAGGAUGGAAUGCACUUGGGAUAAUGAGGAAUACAUUCAAGAGAGGAAGGCUCCAAUAAACAGCACAGGUAUGUAUGGAAAGUAUGUGACACAAGACGCUCACCUAAGAAGUAUUGGAUGGACGUUUCAGUUAAAGGUAUUCAGAAACAAGUAAAAUAUAUCAGGCAAUUAUUAAGAAAACUAUUACAGCGGUGCCUAUAAAUGACUAAAGUCAGUCAACAGGAUGGAAGCAUACAAGCAGCUGUGAUACUCACCUAAGAAGUCUUGGAUGGACAUCUCACUUAAAGGUAUUCAGAAACAAGUAAAAUAGAUCAGGCAAUGAUUGAGAAAGAUAUUACAGCAGUGCCUAUAAAUGACCAAAGUCAGUCAACAGGAUGGAAGCAUACAAGAAGUUUUGACACUCACCUAUGAAGUCUUGGAUGGACAAUUCACUCAAAGGUAUUCAGAAACAGGUAAAAUAGAUCAGGCAAUGAUUAAGAAAGAUACUACAGAAGUGCCUAUAAAUGACCAAAGUCAGUCAACAGAAUGGAAGCAUACAACAAGUUGCUAAUCCUAGUCAGGACUGCUAAAUGAAAUUUCAACAAAAAUGUACAAAACAAUUGAAGUUAAAUAAGAAACAAUAGAUAUGGCUUUAUUCA